rfam:Pneumocystis jirovecii, SE8, WGS project CAKM01000000 data, contig: 168
GGGAGGGUAGCAAAGUGGUUACUGCGUUGGUUUUAGGCACCAAUGUCUUCGGACGCGCGGGUUCGAAUCCCGUCUCUCUCA